GAAACUUAGACCUCAUUCAAGGUGUAGUUUACUCAGAAGUGGUAGUGUCACCACAAUUCACAGGAUCCAGCCGGGAUUCCCUGAGACAUGUGGUCUGCCACCUACAUUGGUAUAUGAAGAUAGGAAUUCUCCACAUCUUUCUUCCUUUUUGAAGAUUUCUGUCUUGUCCUAAGAAGAAGUUACAGAUUGCCAAUGGAUUGAUUGGUUGAAUGUAUUUUUUUCUGUAACCUUAUGAUGUAAUAUUCUUCACUGUGCUGAAGAACUACCAGGGAGAUAAAGAAAAAAUUUAAGCCAAAUUGUCAGUGGGUGUAUCCACCAGAUGGUGAUGUUCUACCAAAUUAUUUGCACAUUGAUCUUGCAGUAAAAAACUUGUCAUUUGAGGGAAUUCUGAUUACUUAAAUUUCAGAUGAGAGUCUU